CGUACUCCGCUCUGAUUUGACAAAUCGCCUGCUUUUUUUUUUUUUUUGCACAUAACGACAUAGCACUUAGCUACACUCAUUCGCAUCAGCAGGUGAUUAUUAAGGAUGCUGUAACAUCUCGAAAAAUGCUCUGCGACCCCAUAAAGGAUACUAGCGAACGAAUACAUAACAGCGAUCUUGAGUGUGUACCGCAAAACCAGAGUAAGGUAAAAAUGACCAAAGUCCCGCAAAGGAAUAACAAGCCAGUGAGAGUCGAUGGUUUGCCAGCUAAGUUGGGUGCUCUGUGGUUCUACGUUCAUCAUAUGGUUUGAUUUAACUAUGCCUAAAAGAAGAAGAGACAAAAAAACAAAGUAAAAUUCUAGCCAUGUGUCAAUUAAUCUGCUUUGACAAGUGAUUUUUUAUUUUGUGGGCCAACAACAAAACGGCAUGACUUUGUUUAAAAAGCAAACUGGGGCUUAUGGAAUAGAUAUCGUUAAUUACGCAAUGUUGUUGAGUAUCUAGUGGAAUUCGGUAUAAAUAAUAGCAUUGAGA
rnacentral:sRNA from 1 species